UACAGAGGUCCCGAGCGUUGUUCGGAUUCACUGGGCGUAAAGGGUGCGUAGGUGGUGGGGUAAGUCUGAUGUGAAAUCUCCAGGCUCAACCUGGAAAUGGCAUUGGAAACUACCCUGCUGGAGGGUUGGAGGGGGGACUGGAAUACUUGGUGUAGCAGUGAAAUGCGUAGAUAUCAAGUGGAACACCAGUGGCGAAGGCGAGUCCCUGGACAACUCCUGACACUGAGGCACGAAAGCCAGGGGAGCAAACAGG
rnacentral:rRNA from 1 species